rnacentral:rRNA from 1 species
GCGAACAGACAAGGAGCUUGCUCCUUUGACGUUAGCGGCGGACGGGUGAGUAACACGUGGGUAACCUACCUAUAAGACUGGGAUAACUUCGGGAAACCGGAGCUAAUACCGGAUAAUAUUUCGAACCGCAUGGUUCGAUAGUGAAAGAUGGUUUUGCUAUCACUUAUAGAUGGACCCGCGCCGUAUUAGCUAGUUGGUAAGGUAACGGCUUACCAAGGCGACGAUACGUAGCCGACCUGAGAGGGUGAUCGGCCACACUGGAACUGAGACACGGUCCAGACUCCUACGGGAGGCAGCAGUAGGGAAUCUUCCGCAAUGGGCGAAAGCCUGACGGAGCAACGCCGCGUGAGUGAUGAAGGUCUUCGGAUCGUAAAACUCUGUUAUUAGGGAAGAACAUACGUGUAAGUAACUAUGCACGUCUUGACGGUACCUAAUCAGAAAGCCACGGCUAACUACGUGCCAGCAGCCGCGGUAAUACGUAGGUGGCAAGCGUUAUCCGGAAUUAUUGGGCGUAAAGCGCGCGUAGGCGGUUUUUUAAGUCUGAUGUGAAAGCCCACGGCUCAACCGUGGAGGGUCAUUGGAAACUGGAAAACUUGAGUGCAGAAAAGGAAAGUGGAAUUCCAUGUGUAGCGGUGAAAUGCGCAAAGAUAUGGAGGAACACCAGUGGCGAAAGCGACUUUCUGGUCUGUAACUGACGCUGAUGUGCGAAAGCGUGGGGAUCAAACAGGAUUAAAUACCCUGGUAGUCCACGCCGUAAACGAUGAGUGCUAAGUGUUAGGGGGUUUCCGCCCCUUAGUGCUGCAGCUAACGCAUUAAGCACUCCGCCUGCGGAGUACGACCGCACGGUU